CGAAGAAGAACGUAGCGCCAACCGCAAAACAGGAGGAAGGAAAAAAAUAGAGAUUUUUAAAAAAUAUGAAAACGUUUCACAGAAAACAAACAAAGUGAAAUGUAGACCGUGCAAAGCGGAGGUUUCUUUCCACUACUGCAGUGCACGAGCAUUCAAAACACUGCACCGUGGAGCUGUGACGUCAGCUUGUUCUUUUGUUUGUUUGUAGUAUUAAGCAGUUUGUCCUGACAAGAUGCAUGCAUGCACCUCUCAAAUAGCUGAAGUCAUGACAGAGAGCAUCUUUAGCAUGGUUAUCUGCUGGGAACAUCAUCUCUAAGAGCAAACCUCACUCAAACAGUGCCAUUGACCUUGACGUAAUGGAUUGUUCGCAUGACCUCAUGCUACACCACUACAAAGUUUUAUCACAACUGAAAGCUUGUCUAGCUAUCGUGUUUAAAGACAGAGUGACAUCACACAGAAAAACUACAAGAGCAUAACCUCCUUGGCAGAAGUAAUAAAAAAGCCAAGAUGGCAUUAUUACAGCACAAAUGGCAACCUAUUGACAUCCGGCAUUUUUAGUGCAAUCAAGAGGAAUGGGAUGCCAGGUGAGACGCUAGUCAGCCUAAAUCCUGGGAGACAUCAGUCCUGGGAUUGGGAUGUUCAGCGCGGAUGUUUCAGAUGACUGCAAAAUGGUGUCACGAAAACAGAUGGAUGCUCUCAUCCUGCAGCACAAGCAGCUAUUUAAUAAAAAUGAAGCCUGGAGGAAAAGACUGUUCCCAAGAACGACUGGCCUGUUUUCCCAGCCUGCAGCUUGUGUGCAUUUUCCUUUGGCAUGUAAAGAAUUUUGCCUUUUUUGCUCUUCAUAAUGUAUUUUUGCUUUGUGGUUAUUUUUCCACACCCUGCUCAUAACAGUUUUGUUUUUUGCACAUUUUCGACUGCAGGAUGGAGAGUCAAUUAAUGAUGAACCUCGGGUUUCUGGUGACUACAUUCUGUUCUUUAGCAUGUGGUUAUUAAUUGGCAGGACUAUCUUGUAGUCAUUACAAUAAAAGCCAUGACUAAAUGUGAAAAUUGUCUUGCUUGAACAAAAA